rnacentral:rRNA from 1 species
UACGUAGGGUGCAGGCGUCAAUCGGAAUUACUGGGCGUAAAGCGUGCGCAGGCGGUUUCUUAAGUCAGAUGUGAAAGCCCCGGGCUUAACCUGGGAACUGCGUUUGAAACUGGGAGACUUGAGUGUGGCAGAGGGGGGUGGAAUUCCACGUGUAGCAGUGAAAUGCGUAGAUAUACGGAGGAACACCAGCGGCGAAGGCGGGUAGCUGGGCCAACACUGACGCUGAGACGCGAAAGCUAGGGGAGCAAACGGG